AAACCAGUUUCACGUAUCCUUGUUCUUUCAUUUUCUAAACCCUAAACUGCCAUGAAGGAAAACAAAAUAUCAAGUUCUUCACAUCCCACCCAAAUCACUCUCGAAUUCUCCGAUUGUCUCUGAAAUCUGCACAACCGAACAAGGAAACCAAAACCAAUUUUGUUAUGCCGAUUUUUGCACCGAAACCAAAACAAUCAAUCCUCUUGUUAUCCCUGAAUUUCUGCCGAAAAUGAGGGAAGCCAAAAUCAAUUUGGCUUAUGUUUUAUUGUGCAACAAAAUACAAAAUCCUAAUUUGGUUGCUUCUGAUUCCUGCCGCAAGCUAAGGAGGCGACAUCAUCGAGGUACCUUUCUAGUUGAUAGCUGCGAAUCGAUCACGGCUCUUUGAAGCGUCUUGUUGUUUGUUUGCAGAUCGGUACCAGUCGGGAAGGAUGGGUUAGCGGAGGUGAUUAGAGGUUCUAAGGAUGUUUAUUGAGCUGAGCACGUAGGAAUUUGUAGAUUUGUAAUAGGAUUUUGGAUAAAUGUAUAUUAGUCUUGGUUGUGUCGGUUAUAUUGGAAUCUAAGUGAAUUGUAUGAUUACUUGUGUUUUAGUUAGAUGUUUGAUUUGAGAAUUAGCUGAGUUAGUUACGUUGAAAA